CGCCCCCAGGUCAGGCGGGGCCACCCGCCGAGCUUAAGCAUAUCUAUAAGCGGAGGAGGAGAAACUUACGAGGAUUCCCCUAGUAACGGCGAGCGAACCGGGACCAGCCCAGCUUGAGAAUCGUGCGGCUGCGCCAGCCGAAUUGUAGUCUGGGGAAGCGUCCUCAGCGGCGGACCGGGCCCAAGUCCCCUGGAAAGGGGCGCCCGGGAGGGUGAGAGCCCCGUCCGGCCCGGACCCUGCCGCACUACGAGGCGCUGUCGGCGAGUCGGGCUGUUUGGGAAUGCAGCCCCAAUCGGGCGGUAAAUUCCGUCCAAGA
rnacentral:rRNA from 2 species